AUUUUGCAUGUGUCCUUUAAAUGUCAUCUUUGAAAAUUUAGGAGCACCCCCAGUAAAUACAUUAUCAAAAAUACCCUUUUCCAACGACUUAAUUUAUGCAAGUAAUGAAUCAGAGGGAUUUUGCAAACCAAAAUAAAAUUUAUCGCCGUAAUUAAAAGCUAGAUAAUGCAAAAAUUGCUGCCAUAUUUCGUCCUGAUAAUGACAGUUAUCGAUGCUUGACCGAAUUCUAAUAAAAUUAUCCCCCGUUUAACACGUCUGUGUUUUCGCCUGAAAGUGGAUACAAAGCGACUUAUCGGAGGUUAUCUGGGCCGGAACUAAACGGUUUUUUCAACGAGAGGGUUUCGGUUUUGCAUUUAAAUGUGUUCCAGGAUAACAGAUACUAGAAAGUGCGUGGAACCGAGAACUGGCGUGAAUUUUAAGCAGUCCUACUUCUACUAAAUUACCUCUUGAAACAAAUGGAACUGGACGACGGUGAUUGUGGCUCUAAUUGAUAACGAAACGAGCGUUCCUUAAAGAGGAAUCGGCAAAAAUUGCGGUCGGGCCGAUAUUGGCCUCGCUGGCGUUGUUCACAGACGAGAAAAAGUCCCAUCACCAGCGAAAUCUUUGAACAUAAACAAUUUCGGGUAGGAUCGUUGCGAAGCUAAUUUUUGGGAAUGGGAACGUGGUGGGUUAUCCAUUAUUCGGCAGUUUUCUCUUGAUGGCAAUUGGACGAAUUUUAUUUUUCUCUGCGUGUGUGCACUUUCCUCUGUGAAUUUUAAUUAAAUGUUUCCACAACUGGUUAAGCGAAACCUACGAUAGAGUAAACAUAUACGUACAAUUACGGAUUAUUAAGGAAGAAGUGACAACGUAUUUUUUCUUAACAAAAA